rnacentral:rRNA from 1 species
UCUUUAAGAAAUUUUUUAAAGUAAUACCUGCUCAAUGUAAAAUAAAUAGCCGCAGUAUCCUGUGCUAAGGUAGCAUAAUCAUUAGCUUUCUAAUUAAAAGAUAGAAUGAAUGGUAAUAUGCAAUAUGAUUUUUUUAAAAAAACAAAAUAAAUUUAAAAAAGAAGUAAAAAUUCUUCUAAAUUAAGAAAGACGAUAAGACCCUGACAAACUUAACAUUUUGCUGGGGCGGCAAUAAACAAAAAACCUUUUAUUCUUUAGGGCUAAAAAUCUAUUAUUAAUAAUAAUAAGUUACUGCAGGGAUAACAGCGCAAUUUUUUUCUAAAGUUCAAAUUAAAAAAAAAGUUUACGACCUCGAUGUUGAAUUAAUUUUCCUUUUUGCAGAGCAAAUUCUACAAUAGAUAGUCUGUUCGACUAUUAAACAAUU